GUCUAAGGCCAUGCCACCCUGAACGUGCCCAAUCUCAUCUGAUCUCAGAAGCUAAGCAGGAUCGGGCCUGGUUAGUACUUGGAUGGGAGACAAUCUAGGAAAACCAGGUGCUGUAGAUG
rnacentral:rRNA from 1 species